GUCAGCUGUCCCAUACAAAUUCAAUUGUCAGGAGUUUCAGGAAUUCAAAAGAUCUGUUGGAGCUGUAUGAAUAUUCUACAGAAACAAUUUUUGGUCACUCCUUACUUGCUAAAACUUACUGUGAAAUUUUCAACAAUUUAACGGUUUAGUAAAUACCCAGAAUAUUAGUGC